CUAUUAAACGGCCGCGGUAUCCUAACCGUGCAAAGGUAGCAUAAUCAUUUGUCUAUUAAUUGUAGACCUGUAUGAAAGGCAAAAUGAGAGCCCAACUGUCUCUUAUAACAAAUCAAUUAAACUGAUCUCCUAGUACAAAAGCUAGAAUAUCGACAUAAGACCAGAAGACCCUGUGAAGCUUUAACUAACCUAUUAAACCUAAUAAUAGCUACUUUCGGUUGGGGCGACCUUGGAACAAAAAAGAACUUCCAACACAUGACCUCCUCAUAAAAUAGGCAUACAAGCCAACAUUAGACCCAGCACAGCUGAUAAUUGAAAUAAGUUACUCCAGGGAUAACAGCGCCAUCUUCUUCAAGAGCCCAUAUCAAAAAGAAGGUUUACGACCUCGAUGUUGGAUCAGGACAUCCCAGUAAUGCAGCCGUUACUAAAGGUUCGUUUGUUCAACGAUUAACAGUCCUACGUGAUCUGA
rnacentral:rRNA from 1 species